rnacentral:piRNA from 1 species
UCCAGCACUGGGGUCACGGGUGUGCAU